AACGCACAUUGCGCCCAUUAGUAUUCUAGUGGGCAUGCCUGUUCGAGCGUCAUUUCAACCCUCGGGCCCGUACGGGUCUGGUGUUGGGGCCUUUGCCGCGAGGCAAGCCCUGAAAGCAAGCGGCGGGCUCGCUGUGACCCCGAGCGUAGUAAUUUACACCUCGUUUAGGGCGUCUGGCGGGCGGCACCAGCCGUAAAAGCGCUGUAAUGCACUGAAAAGUUGACCUCGGAUCAGGUAGGAAUACCCGCUGAACUUAA
rnacentral:misc_RNA from 1 species